CAUCAUUUUGCUAUGCCUUGUAGUACUGCCGCUCUAGUCUCGCUUCAAAACCAUUCGGAAAUAACUCGAUACAUUUGAAACAAAAAUGUUUAAAAACCACUGGCUGGGUUAAAUAUUAGCAAGUCCUUAUUAAAAAAAUGGAAAGAAAAAAGUUUAAUAUUAACCUCGACGACUCUGCUUUCACUAAGAAAAGAACACCGGUGAAGCCCUUGUUUCAGCCGUCAUCAAAGGCAGGCCUCACUGUCUCAACCAAGUCUGAAUCUUCUUAUCAGCCAGUACCACCUCUAUCUGCCGGCCAACCACAAUCCUAUGCAGAAUUCGUCGUCCAGAGCAGUAGCCACGCAUGUCAUCCUCCACCUCGCCUUCCUUCCAACCUGCACAAUGAAGACGGCGUGUCAAGGGCGACAGCUGACAACGCAGAAAGAAUCACAGGAGACGAGCUUGCCACUUCUAGGCCGGGUCCUAGUCUAGAGGUUCCUGGUGGGUCUGACAUGGGUUCAUCCUCCGCUGUUGGGUCUGUGAAGCCCUGCGAAGCGCUUAGAGAGGCUGGGGGGGGCAGUGAUGGAGGUGGAACUCCAGGAGGUGAGCAGGAGGAGGGCCGAGGUGCUGGGAGGGACCAGCAACAGGCGGAGGGUCACAAGGUUGGCCCAAGCAGCCUGGGCCCCAGACCGGUGGGAUCAGGGAACAGCAUCAUUGUCAGCCCUCGACAGAGAGGAAAUCCAGUUCUGAAGUUUGUGAGGAGCGUUCCCUGGGAGUUUGGAGAAGUGGUGCCUGACUAUGUCCUGGGACAGACCACGUGUUCUCUCUUUCUCAGUCUGAGAUACCAUAACCUCAACCCUAACUACAUCCAUGACCGUCUAAAACAGCUAGGACAAACCUUCACGCUCAGGGUCCUCCUGUUGCAAGUGGAUGUGAAGGAUCCACACCAUUCGCUGAAAGAGCUGGCUCGGAUCUGCAUCAUGGCUGACUGCACUCUCAUCCUGGCCUGGAGUCCUGAGGAGGCAGGGCGCUACCUGGAGACGUUCAAGUCCUACGAGAAGAAACCUGCUGACCUGCUGAAGGAGCAGGUGGAGAAGGACUACCUGUCUAAGGUGACUGACUGCCUGACCACAGUUAAGUCUGUCAACAAGACAGACGCCAUAACCAUGCUGUCCACCUUCUCUUCCAUCGAGGGUAUCAUCAAGGCUUCUAAAGAAGACCUGGUGUUGUGCCCCGGGCUGGGGCCACAGAAGGCCCGGCGUCUCUAUGAUGUGCUCCACCAACCCUUCUUAAAGUCCAGGAAGAAGGAGAGCUGACUGGGACUUUUUUCCAGUCUUCAACAGGGCCUGGCCCCUGCCUGGCCCCUGUCUGGCCCCUGCCUGGCCCCUGCCUGGCCCCUGUCUGGCCCCUGUCUGGCUCACCUAUUUCACACUGUAACCUACAGCAACAAUGCUUGUUGGUUUGUUAAAUGAGGACAGGAAAUCUCUUGUACAGAACUGUGGUUUAGUGCUGAACCAAGCCUUGGCUUGCUUCCAAUAUGAAACUUUACAGUUAUAUAUUUGAAGAGAAUGGAGCAUCAUGAAAAGAGGCUAGUGGUGUUCAUUAACCACAUGGAGAGAUUCAUUAUUUGACUUGAAAUGCCUUUUGGAAAGGAAUUGAAACGACAAUAUGCGGUGUUUAGUCUUUUUACGACAAUUAUGUGGUUAUUAGGUACAUAUUCUACGUUGCCAGUAAAUGUUUUUUGGUAUUUCAUAGCAUUUUUUCAAUAAAGCUUAAAAUCAAUUCCAAAUGAGUC